rnacentral:rRNA from 1 species
AACGAACGCUGGCGGCGUGCCUAACGCAUGCAAGUCGGACGGACUCAUUUUGAAGUAGCAAUACGGAGGAAUGAGUUAGUGGCGGACGGGUGAGUAACACGUAGGUAACCUACCCUUAAGCGGGGGACAACUCAGGGAAACUUGAGCUAAUACCGCAUAAGACCACGGGCUGAGAUGCCAGUGGGAAAAGGAGCAAUCCACUUAAGGAUGGGCCUGCGGCCUAUCAGGUAGUUGGUGAGGUAACGGCCCACCAAGCCAGAGACGGGUAGCCGGGCUGAGAGGUUGAACGGCCACACUGGAACUGAGAUACGGUCCAGACUCCUACGAGAGGCAGCAGUGGGGAAUAUUGCGCAAUGGGGGAAACCCUGACGCAGCGACGCCGCGUGGAGGAUGAAGGCCUUCGGGUUGUAAACUCCUUUUGUAGGGGAAGAUAAUGACGGUACCCUGCGAAUAAGCCACGGCUAACUCUGUGCCAGCAGCCGCGGUAGGACAGAGGUGGCGAGCGUUGUUCGGAAUUACUGGGCUUAAAGGGCGAGUAGGCGGUGGAGCAAGUCUGAGGUGGGAUCCUACGGCUUAACCGUAGAACUGCCUUGGAAACUGUUUUACUUGAGUCAGUGA